AUAUCUGAAAAUUUCAUCGGAUCACAAGCAAAGACCUCCUGGGGACCUUCAAUGCAUCCCUUGACAAAGUUGUGCCUGGCCUGCUGAAACUGUACUGGUCUAAGAAGGGAGCUCUUGGUGAGGAGAUGGAAGACCUCCUGGAUAAACUUGAUGAACAGACAUCCAACACUGUGUCCAACGGGCACUGAGAGGCCUGCCCAUUUUCCUCAAGAGAAGAUGCAACAGAGGUUUUCCUGAAGUGCUUAGACACUGACAUUUUGGAACCAGUGUUGAACGGUGCAUCAGUUGCCAUCCUCACCAUCCUACAAGAUGACGAUGCUGAUACGUCUGUGCGAGAACAUGCAGUUGUGUUGGAAGGGGACAUUGUGCUACAUAACAUUCCAGAUCUCUCUACUGCCCUGGCACACCUCUUUGGCCUUCUGUAUGCCCUCAACAUUGAUUAUCCAAAGCAGAUGAGUUUUACCUUUGAAGCAAUUCAGGCCAUCUUAUUUUGGCCUGGUCGGACAAUAUGAAGGUGAAGUGGAUAAAUCAUUAUUCGAAAUGUAAAUUUUAGUCAGAUGAAUCUGUAUUGUUGAGAAUAUAUGGU